rnacentral:rRNA from 1 species
UACGAAGGGGGCUAGCGUUGCUCGGAAUCACUGGGCGUAAAGCGCACGUAGGCGGCUUCUUAAGUCAGGGGUGAAAUCCUGGAGCUCAACUCCAGAACUGCCUUUGAUACUGAGAAGCUUGAGUCCGGGAGAGGUGAGUGGAACUGCGAGUGUAGAGGUGAAAUUCGUAGAUAUUCGCAAGAACACCAGUGGCGAAGGCGGCCGACUGGUCCGGUUCUGACGCUGAGGCACGAAAGCGUGGGGAGCAAACAGG